GUAGAAAAAGGCCUGUACACGCUCUGCAGAUACAAUUUGUGAGCCUCAGGAAGGAUUCCAUUGCAUUAAACUAAGUAAAGGCACCUGUGCAUUAGCAGUGGAACACAGUAAAUGUAACCUGGACAAUAUAUUAAACAAUCAGGAACAGCAUUUACUGAUACUUUAUGUGCUGGCUGCAUAGAUGGAACUUAUUCAAAUGGCUCUCUAAAGGCCUGCCUACCACAUUCAAAAUGUGAGACUAUGGGACUUACAGAAAUAAAAGCAGGAACAUCGUCCUCUGAUGCUGAAUGUGAGAAAGUGACUUCGGUUGGUCUUAUAGUUGUAGUCACAAUUACACUUCUUGUAGCUGUUGUGGCUGUGGCUGCUGUUAAAUAGCAUGCAUCAGAAAACAUAAAGC